ACCUCCAUUUGUUGGUAACAGGGAUAUUGAAUGUCCCAAUAUCCCACUUCCCUCUCCUUCUAGUCAGACUGAUUUUCACUGACUUUAAAAACCCCAUGACAGGAAUAUAAUAUUAUUCUAAUCCAAGCCCAACAUCUACAUUAAAAUGAAAAAAGAUCAGAGAUUAAAGCAAACACAUCAUGUCAAAACCCACAGAGAAAAAUUUAAAGACCCAACUUUUAUGGGUUGUUUUUUGUUAGCUCUAUGAUACCUUAACUUCGUCGAGCAACUGAUUGGCUGCCUUCUGCCAAACUGUCAAUAUGAUUGGUUGGACUCAAUCAACGGUAGAAACCACUGCCACGUGUCUAAACCCAUUACUCGAUGGAUAAUC
rnacentral:lncRNA from 1 species